GACGAACGCUGGCGGCGUGCUUAACACAUGCAAGUCGAACGGAAAGGCCCUGCUUUUGUGGGGUGCUCGAGUGGCGAACGGGUGAGUAACACGUGAGUAACCUGCCCUUGACUUUGGGAUAACUUCAGGAAACUGGGGCUAAUACCGGAUAGGAGCUCCUGCAGCAUGGUGGGGGAUGGAAAGUUUCGGCGGUUGGGGAUGGACUCGCGGCUUAUCAGCUUGUUGGUGGGGUAGUGGCUUACCAAGGCUUUGACGGGUAGGCGGCCUGAGAGGGUGACCGGCCACAUGGGGACUGAGAGACGGCGCAGACUGCUACGUGAGGCAGCAGGGGGGAAUAUUGCAGAAUGGGGGGACGUCAGAGGCAGCAACGCCGCGUGCGGGAUGCCGGCUUUCGGGUGGUAAACCGAUUUCGCAGUUGACGAAGCGUGAGUGACGGUAAUGAGUAAAGAAGCACCGGCUAACUACGUG
rnacentral:rRNA from 1 species